ACCGUCCUUAUCUUGGGGUGCGCGGCGGCCCAAUGAACGCGUGGUGAGGGCCGCCCUGCUGACGCAAGAAACAGCACUUCGCGCCCGCGAGUCGAGCGCAAUUUUUGGAACC
rfam:Alligator mississippiensis ScZkoYb_26, whole genome shotgun sequence.